rnacentral:rRNA from 1 species
GACAGAGGUGCCGAGCGUUAGGCGGAAUCACUGGGCUUAAAGCGUGUGUAGGCGGAUGGGUAAGUACCUUGUGAAAUCCCACGGCUCAACCGUGGAACUGCUCGGUAUACUGCUCGUCUUGAGCCAACUAGGGGCGACCGGAACAAACGGUGGAGCGGUGAAAUGCGUAGAUAUCGUUUGGAACGCCGAUGGUGAAAACAGGUCGCUGGGGUUGUGCUGACGCUGAGACACGAAAGCCAGGGGGAGCGAACGGG